rnacentral:rRNA from 1 species
GACAGAGGGUGCAAACGUUGUUCGGAAUUACUGGGCGUAAAGCGCGUGUAGGCGGCCAAGCAAGUCGGAUGUGAAAGCCCUCGGCUCAACCGGGGAAGUGCACUCGAAACUGCAUGGCUAGAGUCUCGGAGAGGAUCGUGGAAUUCUCGGUGUAGAGGUGAAAUUCGUAGAUAUCGAGAGGAACACCGGUGGCGAAGGCGGCUCACUGGACCGGUACUGACGCUGAUGCGCGAAAGCGUGGGGAGCAAACGGG